GUCGGGUAAGUUCCGACCUGCACGAAUGGCGUAACGAUGGCCACACUGUCUCCACCAGAGACUCAGUGAAAUUGAAAUUGCGGUUAAGAUGCCGUAUACCCGCGGCUAGACGGAAAGACCCCGUGAACCUUUACUAUAGCUUCACAGUGAACUUUGAGCAUGUUUGUGUAGGAUAGCUGGGAGGCUUUGAAGUGGGAACGCCAGUUCUCAUGGAGCCAACCUUGAAAUACCAGCCUGACAUGUUUGAGGUUCUAACUUGGUCCCCUUAUCGGGGAUGAGGACACUGUGUGGUGGGUAGUUUGACUGGGGCGGUCUCCUCCCAAAUUGUAACGGAGGAGCACGAAGGUACACUAAGUAUGGUCGGACAUCAUACGGUUAGUGCAAUGGCAAAAGUGUGCUUGACUGCGAGACAGACACGUCGAGCAGGUACGAAAGUAGGUCAUAGUGAUCCGGUGGUUCUGUAUGGAAGGGCCAUCGCUCAACGGAUAAAAGGUACUCCGGGG
rnacentral:rRNA from 1 species